UCGAGUUAGGGUCUUUAUAGGCCUGACCUCCCAACCCUUUGCCUAAUUGACCACUUGUUGCUUCGGCGGGCCCGUCUUUACCGACCGCCGGAGGACCGUCAGACGUCCUCUGGCCCGCGCCCGUCGAUGGCCCUCUUUAAAACUCAUGAAUAAAUCGUGUCAUUUGUCUGAGUCCUAUUGCAAAAUUAAAGCA
rnacentral:misc_RNA from 1 species